UGUCACUUCCAGAUUAAUUGAACAAUUUGAGGUAACUAUAACUACCAUUCCCUUCAUUCAUAUAUGACAGUAAUUAUGCUAAAAUGUAGUUUAUGUGUGAAGAUGGUUAGCAACAACGGUCAUGAGUGGAGAAAGAACAACAAAUACAACCACCGAAUGUCACAAAAAUGUUAUGCAAACCUUGCCGAAGAGAUGUGGUGGGUUAAUUGAUCGUGCUUUACUAUGGAAGAAAGCACGAACAACUAAAGAUGGAGAGAUUCUUGACACAAACACAAAGGAGGUGGCCAAUAAAUUUGACAACCUACUUGUUUCAAAACGUGCGACUCAUUCAACGGAUAAUGUAACUUCAGACAUACUAUCGUAAGCCAUCGGAUGGAAUGAUCCAUCAGAAAGGAUUCGAGGGGUAGGUCAAUACGUCACACCGAGUAAAUACUUCCACACUGCAAGAGAGAAACGAAAGAAGGUCAGUAAAGAAGAAGAUUAUGCUGAAGAGCGAACGAGAAUGGCUACUCGUAUCUUAGAACUGGAAGCGGAAUUAAUGAACCAUAAAAGGGUUUUUGAAGUGGCCACAAAGGGAGAAACUGCUGAUGAGAGCAAGAUCAAGAGUCAAAUGGCUUCGAAGAGCAUUGACACGUCAGAUGAUGCAAAUGACUAUGACACAGAAGAAGAAAAUAGACAAGUUCUAGAAAUAAAAGUUAAAAUAGAGGACUUGACGAUAGAAAAACAA